GAUGAACGCUGGCGGCGUGCCUAAUACAUGCAAGUCGAGCGAACAGACGAGGAGCUUGCUCCUCUGACGUUAGCGGCGGACGGGUGAGUAACACGUGGAUAACCUACCUAUAAGACUGGGAUAACUUCGGGGAAACCGGAGCUAAUACCGGAUAAUAUAUUGAACCGCAUGGUUCAAUAGUGAAAGACGGUUUUGCUGUCACUUAUAGAUGGAUCCGCGCCGCAUUAGCUAGUUGGUAAGGUAACGGCUUACCAAGGCGACGAUGCGUAGCCGACCUGAGAGGGUGAUCGGCCACACUGGAACUGAGACACGGUCCAGACUCCUACGGGAGGCAGCAGUAGGGAAUCUUCCGCAAUGGGCGAAAGCCUGACGGAGCAACGCCGCGUGAGUGAUGAAGGUCUUCGGAUCGUAAAACUCUGUUAUUAGGGAAGAACAAAUGUGUAAGUAACUAUGCACGUCUUGACGGUACCUAAUCAGAAAGCCACGGCUAACUACGUG
rnacentral:rRNA from 1 species